CAAAAGAUAUAAGUUAACUAAUGAGUUUUAUACAAGUCUUCUAAAUUUGUUAUAGGUUUUACCUGCUCAUUUUU
rnacentral:tRNA from 1 species